CUUUUUUAAGUGUCAAAUAUACACUUUUGUGUCCAGAAGCAUAUUGGCGGGGAAUAUCAAUUCAAUGAAUUUGCUUAUUUAGGCAUAAAGUUAGGCUUAUAUGAUAAGACAAAAAUCAAAUGGCUGUAAAUAUGCAGAACAGUAUGUUGUAUGUAAUAAAAAAUAUUUAUCCUCUGUUCAUAGGUUAAGGUUUCCCUGGUUUUAAAUCAUGAGGAAUGGAAAUCUUGACAACGCUAGAUGAAUUGCCUACAUAAAACUAGUUAACACAUGUAAAAGGGAGGGGUUUAAACAUAAAUUACCAAAGCACCAAUUAAAUAAAUGAGCAAAUUAAUAUCACAUAUGCUAGUAUCCACCUUCAAACAGACAUGUUAAUGUUUUCUUCGCCUUAAAUAAGCUCUCCAUGACAGAAUUUGUUAAAGAUAUCUAAUUAUCCCCUGCCAUAGGUGGAGGGAUAUUGUUUUUGGCGUUUUCCGUCUGUCUUUCCGUCCGUCCGUCCAUCUGGCACUUUUGUGUCCGGAGCCAUAUCUUGAAUGUGCUUUGGCGGAUUUCAUUGAAACUUGGUAUGAGUAUAUAUAUAUGGUGAAGAGGAUGAUGCACGCCAAAUGGCAUUGUACACCAUCUGUUAAUAAUGGAGUUAUGGCCCUUUGUAUCUUGAAAAAAUGCUUUUUUGAGUGUCAAAUAUAACACUUUUGUGUCCAGAAGCAUAUUGGCGGGGGAUAUCAAUUCAACGAAUUUGCUUGUUGCUUGCUGUUUUCUACAGACAAUAAUAAAUUUUGUAUAUAUAUUUUGUUUCAUGCAUAAAAUUGUACAUGUUGACCUUUGAACAUUCUAUUUAUUACGACUUGUUCCAAAGUAUAAAAAUAUCUGCGUGUACUUGAAUAUUUGAAUAAACUUUAACAGUUUAUGAAUUUUGCAAACAAUGAAAUAGUAUAAUAAAAAAAAUGUUUUAAACAUUUUUAUUUGCAUUUUAUACACAUGUACAAAGUCUUUUUUGGAAUGUACACUGUGCUGAAUUAUAAUAGCUUUUAUUCUUUAAGAAUGUUUACAAUUAUUUUAACACACUUAUUAUUUAUUUACAUUAAAGUUUUACAAAAUAAUAAUAAAUGGAACAGAAUAACUUAAUUAAGUUCAGUUACUGUUGCAAAUGUUUAUGUUCAUGAUGUAAGUUAUAUGUUUAUGCCCCCUUUCGAAGAAAAGGGGGUAUAUAGUUUUCUCACUGUCCGUCAGUCUGUCAUUCAGUCUGUCAGUCUGUCACACUUUUCGUGUCCACUCUCUAAUUCAAAUAGUUUUCAUCCGAUCUUUACCAAACUUGGUCAGAAGUUGUAUCUAGACAAUAUCUAGGUCAAGUUUGAAUUAGGGUCAUGUCGGGUCAAAAACUAGGUCACAGGGUCACUUAGUGCAUUUCAAGGAUUUAGCAUGGUGUCCGCUCUCUAAUUGAAGUAGUUUUCAUCUGAUCUUUACCAAACUUAGUCAGAAGUUGUAUCAAGACAAUAUCUAGGUCAAGUUUGAAUUUGGGUCAUGCCGAGUCAAAAACUAGGUCACAGGGUCACUAAGUGCAUUUCAAGGAUUUAGUAUGGUGUCCGCUCUCUAGUUGAAGUAAUUUUCAUCCGACCUUCACCAAAUUUGGUCAGAAGUUGUAUCUAGACAAUAUCUUGGUCAAGUUCGAAUAUGGGUCAUGCUGGGUCAAAAACUAGGUCACGGGGUCACUUAAUGCAUUUCAAUAACUUCUAUCAAAGCGUUUAUUGUUUGUUUGUUUGUAUUUUUAUGGUGUAUUUGUAAUUUGUAUGUGAUUUUAUAUGUUUCUUUCUGGGUGUGAGUCCAUUAUCAGAUUAAGGGUACAACAUCUUGCCCAUAAUUAAUUUGUGUUUUAUUGUUAUAUGCUUUUGCUACUGAAUCAAAUAGGUACUUGGAUUUUAUAAUCUAUGGCAAAGCAUAGGACUUACUAUCCCUUACUCUCAUAGUAUAGGUCCUCCUCAUAGUAUCGUGCCUUUAACGAAAAACUUCAAAGGACACAUGACUUGUUUAUUUAUGUAUAACAAAGUGUUCUUUUUCUAAGUUCUUGCCUUCCAUCUGGUAAAGUCCUCAAAAAGUGGUGUCCAAUAACUCAAAUAAGCGCUUUAGUUCCAUCAUAUCUCUCUUGUUUACAAUUGUUCAAAUUGCUGCUUCUGUUUGUCAUGUAUUUCUUUAUUAAACUAUAGUCUAUACUGAAACAUUGAACAAUUGCUUGCACCUGUUCUGUUGCUUCUAUUGGUCAUGUUAUGAAGUAUUUAACAUAAGUGUUACUAUACUGAAACAUGUGUACAAUUGGUUGCACCUGUUGCUUCUAUUGGUCAUGUUAUGAAGUAUUUAACAUAGUGUAACUAUACUGAAUUAUUUUGAAUGAUUGCAUUCAACUGCUGAUUCUAUUAGACAUGUUAUACUGUAUUUACUAUUUUGUACAAUUUCUUUUUUUUCUUAUUCUUAUUUUCAUAUUUUAGAAGUAAUAAAGUCUUUAAAUGAU